CCAGGCGAACAGUCAACUGACGAUGGAGCCAGGGCUCUGGUGACCGGAGAGCCGUCAUAGCAGAUAUUGCCAUCAACAAAAGCAUCAAUGAGAACGAUAUCGUGGCGAGCCUACAGCCGAAGACUAACAGGCGGUACCGACUUCACUUGGUGAAACUGGAAGAUGGAGACUGGGACAGAUGCUGCGGCGUGGUCAGUCGUUUGCUCGGAUGUACUGCAGGCAAGCCGAACCACGAACUUUGGAUCCACGAUUGCAGUGGCUUAUCAGCAGGCGUCACGGAGCAAGUUGCGGAGUAUUUGUACUGUUACACGAGUAUUGGCACACUGAGAAUGAACAAUCAUUCAAUCGAUGAAGCCCAGCAACAUAAGCUACAGUCUAGACUAUACUUAAAAAUUAAACCCACCACAUUAGAUUUCAGCAUUCCAUCUUUUUAAAGUUUUCUGUCAACCGCUGGGAAAUCUGAAUGUUAAGUACGUUACAGUAUUUAACAGAACAUGAAUUUGCUCCUUUGCUCGGAACAAUGCUGACAUAAUUGAUUUAUUUUGCGGCUAUUCCCCACACCGCGUGAACGGAGAAUGCCAGCCAUGAACAGCUCGGUGAAAUUUUCAAUACGAUAUUAAACAAUCCAAACGUGUGGAAGAGUCAUUAGAAAGAAGUUGAAAUUAAAUUUGAUGUAGUUUCAUGUUGAUGUUAAUUUGACUUCGUUUCAUGAUAUGUGCGCUGAAGAAAUAUCCUGAUUUGUAUUUUCAGAGGAACGCGUAUCACAUCUCUCCAAUGUAUUAAUGGACUUCAUUUUUAAUAGAUUUAUGAAAUAGAUACUAGAUGAACCGCAUAAUUUGAGUACGUAUUAUAAUUAUAAUUUUUACAAACUUCAUUCAUUUAAUCAAUGUUGCCGUGUAUGAAGACACGAACUCUCUUCGCACAAAGAGGAUCCGGGAAUGCCUCUUUAAGCGUAAUGGGAUGAAUUGAGAGCAGAAUUAUACGGUUCCUUUCUAUAUGGCAUUUAAAAAUAGUUUUCUAACGCAACUUUUCCCAUUAAGGUCGGGUUUUCAUCUCCUCAUAUUUUCAAUGUAAUUUUUUUUAUUCAAUUUAGUUAGAGCUUAAUCUUUCAUAUUUAGUGAGAAUUUCUCGCUGGAGAACAAUAUUAUUUACAUGCCUACUAGUAGCAUUUCAGUCCAAAAAAGGCGAGACUUGUGGGGGAUUCGUUUUUAGAAAUCUUUUAGUGUUAAUUAUUUUAUGUGUGGCAUCAACAUUACGGGAUUGCGAAGUAGCCUGAAAUAUUUUUUUCAACUGGGAAUUUCUGGGAAUAAGUUCACGUGUCUCAAACAUCUUAUCAAAACACCCUUUUCUAUCAUCAAGCGUUCUGCUGCGAAUUAGGUUGUAAGUUUGAUCAACUGGAUGGUUUUAGUUUGUUUCUAAGUAAAGGCAUUAGCUCCUAGAAUCUUUGUAAUCAAUCGCUCUCAGUUCUUGUUUUGUGACUGAAUGGACAUUAUGGUGACGGUCAUUUAUUAAUAUUAUCAAAGCGUGUUAUGAUUAAUUACUUCUUUUCAAAUUUGAUUAUUGUUUUGCUUUUCAAUGUUCAUAUUUUCAUGUAAUUUUC
rnacentral:lncRNA from 1 species